rnacentral:tRNA from 1 species
UCCGGGAUCGUCCAACAGGCCGAGGAUGGCGGGCUCUGACCCCGCAGAUGCAGGUUCGAAUCCUGCUCCCGGAGCAA